CUCACGUGUGAUAGACAAAAGCUAUCUUGCAUAAAAUGACUGUAUUAAAACAGCCAAUGAAAACACAAUUAGAGAAGAAAAUAAGGCAAAAUCAUGAAUAUUCAUGAAAAAGUGUACCGGAAGAAGGUUGCAAGAUGUUGUUGACAGAUGUUCACGUGGAAUUUCGAGGCGGGCAUUUAAUCGAAGUUGUGGCAAAUCUCAGACCUGCGUCGAUUAAUUUCUUCAAUUAAACGCAACUAAAAAGUACAUGUAUCUUGAUGGUAUUAACUAAAUAUGUUGACUAAAGACCCAUUCUACAAGCAUUCAACAUGCACAGCUUCAUAAGAUCAGGGAUAUUAUAGUCAAGCAGGCAACCAAGCACAAACCCUUUAAACGACCAAGGCGACGCCAUACAAAGCUAAAACAAACAUCACUAGUCAACCUGAAGAAUUGAAGGGUGCAUUCAUGAAAUGUAUGUGAGUAAAAAUUACAACUCUUUCUUUAUUGUUAUCAACAAAAACAAAUUAUAUAUUAUAAAUAUUGAUUUGGAUCCAGUUGAAUUUAUUUUAAGAUAAAUUUUCAAAUUGACUCCCGAUU